rnacentral:lncRNA from 1 species
CACCUCAGCUGUCCUCUCAUCAGAAUCCUUGAGAACCCUGCGAGUACGAGACAACUCUGCUUCCAGGGAUUUGGUGUGCUCUGCUGCCUCAGCCGCUCUGUCUUCAGCUCUUUUAAGGGCCUCCAACGCAGAGUGCAACUCCACCUGGAGGGACUGGGAAUGUUCCCGGGCAGCUAGAAGAUUGCCUCUGGCGUCAUUGGUGGCAGAUAUAUUCUCCUCCAGGCGCGCCUCUUCAAUCCGGCGAUCCACGGACUCCCGGAGGGAGUGGUCGCGAGCGUCCACCUCCAUAAAAAGACCCGUCACCUAGUAGGGGAGAACAACCGUCAAAAGAAAGAAAUAAAGAAGACCAAAAGAGAGAGAAAAAUAAUUUACCAUCAAAAGCAUCUCCCUAAUUGUAUUCCCGAGCUCUUCACGAGAUCGGGAUCGGAAGGACGCUUGCUCC